UCGAGCAAUACUUAUCUAUAAUUCUAACACAUACUUUAUAAAUUGUACCACCAGCGAUUUAAUCGGCACCGCGGUCUGCAGAGCAAAAUUCAUAUUAUCCCGGGCCGCCGCCGGGGAAAUUCUCGCUUCUCCGGCGGCGGCGCACAGAACGAGCGAGAGGCAAAGGCGUGAGAUUAGUGCGAUGAUCUGGUGCGCAAGUUGUAAAACUAUUGAUGCAGUGAAGAGUCUGGUUUCUUGCACUCCCUUUGAAAACACAGAUGCACAACAUUUGUUAUGAUGCUGUUCGGUUCUUUCUCUUAUUUCCAAGCAAUCCAUUCGGCUUCUAAAAGUUCAAUAAUCGCCGCCGCCUUAGUGUGAGGGAUCCAGAAAACAAGAAAAUGCAAGGAUCGGAUCUGCUUUUCAUUUGAGGUAUCUGGAUCAAAACUCCUGGAUAUUCUCUAUCAUGCUUCAUUUUUCUCUCAUGGCGUCCGGCUUGUAUUGUGUGUGCCUUUUCCCCCAAAGCUUUAACAUAUAGAAUCACGGCUGUCAUGUAUAGGCGUUCAAUAACAAGCAUGAUAGACAUAAGCACCCAUAUAUGCAAAGAGGGCAAAGUCGAAUACUGGCGUAUAUUUAGUGAUAUUCACAGUGGCUUCCUAGCAUAACUAAGGCUCUCUGCUAUCUGAGGCUCUUGAAAGAUUGAAUUUCUCAUAGUUUCGGAGAUCUGUUGUGGGGUGAACUGAAGUGCAGAGAUAAUAAAGAAUAUGUUUUGGGAAAAAUAAAACUGAUGUGUAGACUGCAGGGCUUACAAAGGACUAAGAAAGGUGAGUCUUUUUAUAGAUGAGGCCGGAAAGGGAUAGCUAUGAAGUGCAUUGGACGGAUUCUGUGUUUUUGCAGUUACGCAGGACAAAUGGACUUCAAUUGGAAGUAUUGCAAAAGAGGAUUGAACUACUUGAAUUGAAGUCUUUGUUGGCAAGGACGCUCUGCGGACAUGCAAAACGGAAGUUACUGAAAUCGAUGAUCUAAGCUCUAAAGCAAUUAUUGGACUUUUAGAAGCUAACCAAGGCGACGGAUGGAUCUUCACUUGAAAGCUUGGAAGUAAGAGAAAGAACCAAUCUGGAGCACCAUUUUUCGUAUCAGAGUGGUUUGACCAGGUUAUACAAGGUGGAGUCAAUCAUGGGAAAUAAUUAUGUAACACUAGCCGUGUGCAACAUGUUUAACGGCAGUGAUCACAUCUACUCUUGCAAUCUGGGGCUUUCCUCACCAUGUCAUCUGGGUUUUCUGGUGCUAAACAUGCACGUGAAGCUGAAGCACAGUAUUAGACUGAGGCAAUUAGUGACACUUGCAGUUGCUUCCAAGCAUCACUAAGGCUCACUGCUAUCAGAGGCUCUUGUAAGAUUGAAUUUCUCAUAGUUUCGGAUAUGUGUUGCGGGGGUGGGGGGAGGACUGGAGUGCAAAGAUAAAAGAAAGUGUUGUGGGGAAAAAAAACUAAUGUACUAGGAAAGUGGAGUCUUUUUAUAGCUUAGGGGGGCUAGGGUAACUAUGAAGUGCAUCAGAUAAAUUCAGUUUCCCCUACAACACAUAUCCGAAACUAUGAGAAAUUCAAUCUUUGAAGAGCCUCAGAUAGCAGUGAGUGUGAUUGAUGCUUGGAAGCAAUUGCAAGUGUCACUAAUUGUGCUUGUUGUAUCUGUGCUUAUGUCCUUCAUGCUUUCUAUUGAACGUCUUUACAUGACAGCCAUGAUUCUAUAUGUCAAAUCUUUGGGGGGAAAAGGUACACACGAUACAAGCUGGAUGGCAUGAGAAAGAAUGGAGGAGGAUUGAAGACAUCGGGGAGUUCUAAUUUAGAUACCUGUGUACAAUGCAAGUGAGGGAAAACCCCCCCGUCUUCCUCAUAUUCUUGGACCCAAAGCAGGAGGAAUUGUGGAGACUAGUUUUGGAGAGGGCGUGGCUGAUCUGGCACCAGGGGAUGAUGUCAGAGGAAAGCAAUAUGUGUGAUCUCCUCAGGAUCAAUACUGAGAGAAGAGUGAUGCUUAGUGAUGGAAAGUCGCGAUUUUCAGUAAAUGGAAAACCAAUACUACAUUCUUUUGGAACAUAUAUGUUUAGCGAGUAUACUCUCGUGCAUGUGGGCUGUGUUGCUAAGAUUCUUGCUGAUCUUGACAAAAUUUCUGUCCCUAGGUGUUGAAUUUCCAGUGGAUUGGUUUCCACUGAAUGUUGCAAAGCCUAAGAAAGGCUUAACAGUGGCUGUUUUGGGGUUAGGAGCUGUACUUUUCUCCUUGUGCAGGUGAUUGCUGAAAUGACCGAUGGCGGAGUAGACAGAAGCAUUGUGUGUCCCGGACACAUAGAUGCUGCUGUGAUUUUAGCAUUUGGAAGUGUACAUGAUGGCUGGGGUGUUGCUGUGCUAGUGGGAGUUCCACAUAACUAAAGAUGCUGUCUUCAAGACAAGCCCCAUGAAUCUAUCGAGUGAAAGGACUCUCAAUGGUAGUUUCUUUGGAACUACAAACCUCGUUCAGACCUUCCUAGCAAUUUACAGAAUUUUUAUCUUUGACUAGGCAAAACGUCUUGGCACAUGUAUUACUGUUUACUAAUGUAUCAGCAUUUCAUCUUCAUGGAAUGUUAUAAUCGAAAAUUGCAUUCGAAAACGUUUGCAGGUUUUGGUGCAAUUUUACUGGCUCUCAGGGUCGCGAAUAUUUCACCUAAU